AAAUAAAAUUUAAUAAUAGAGAUUGAAGGGCCGCGGUAACUCUGACCGUGCUAAGGUAGCAUAAUCAAUCGCUCCUUAAUUGGGGGCUAGUAUGAAAGGAAUAACGAACUUCUCCCUGUCUCAAGUACAGGCCAGUUGAAAUUUAGUACUUCGUUAAGACGCGAAGAACCCUUGAUCAGACGAGAAGACCCCGUCGAGCUUUACUUUAAUCUAUUUUCAAACGUGUCUUAGUUUAAAGGCUAAAAAAAGAUAGGGAAAAAGUUUAGUUGGGGUGACUUCCCAAAACAUAGAAACUUGGGUGAACAAAGGUGUGAGUUAAAUCAACUAGCUUUACCGAGAAGAGGACACUCUGUUCGGUCACUAAGAACCGUGAGUUUUAGCUACCCGUCUUUUAUGGAAAGACGACAUCGAAUAAAAGCUAC
rnacentral:rRNA from 1 species